CGGCCAUCAUAACCACACCAUAUGCAAGUUUUUCUGGUGCAGGUGUUAACCGUCAGCAACAAUCUCAGGAUCAUCGCUUGGAUGAAAAAAGCAUCCCAUUGCAUUGAAAUGCAAUCGAGUUACGGAUCUCUUUCUUUUUCCCCUUUCUUGAAAUGUCCUCGUGUACGCCCAUGUGAAUGUGGGUGUAUUCACGAGGGUGUUCACCUUUACCCUAUCCCGUCUGGUGUAAUUUAUCUCUUCAGCGGAUGGAUGGAGCAACUGUAGAUGCCUGGCUGUAUUUCCCAGACAUAAAAGAGCUGCUGUCGGCGUCACGACAUCCAUAAUUACAUCGGCACAAAAGACGGCGACGACCAGAUGGCGUGUGAACGGAGACGGCCCAUUUCAGAGACAAGGAAAGAUGGCAGUGGAUUCCAGCGAGAAGUCGCCCUAGUCUUUUUUCCGCUUUCUUAGCAGAGAGAAUUUGAAUGUUCAACUGUUUCACGCGCCCGUUUUUCACCUCCGAGAAUGAAUCAUUGAAAAGUGAA